rnacentral:rRNA from 1 species
CCUGCCAGUAGUCAUAUGCUUGUCUCAAAGAUUAAGCCAUGCAUGUCUAAGUUUAAGUACCUUAAACGCGAAACUGCAGAUGGCUCAUUAAAUCAGUCAUAGUUGGAGCAGCCUCAAGCCUUUAGGAUAACCGUGGUAAUUCUAGGGCUAAUACUUACAGUGCUUGCACUUGUUUUUGUGGGCCUUUCAUAUCAAUGCCACGCCGGCAUAAUUGAAUAACUGCAAACUCCGAUCGCAUAGCUUCACGCUGGCGACAAGCUGCUCAAAUGUCUGCCCUAUCAGCUUACGUUGGUAGCGUCUUGGGCUACCAUGGCUUUUACGGGUAACGGGGAACAAGGGUUCGGUUCCGGAGAGGGAGCCUGAGAGAUGGCUACCACUUCUAAGGAAGGCAGCAGGCGCGCAAAUUACCCAAUAGCAAUCCGCUGAGGUAGUGACAAGAAAUACCAAUAUGGGUCCCCGCAAGGGAUCUGUAAUUGGAAUGAAACCAAUUUAAAACUCUCAAUGAGUACCAAUUGGAGGACAAGUCUGGUGCCAGCACCCGCGGUAAUUCCAGCUCCAAUAGCGUAUAUUAAAGUUGUUGCAGUUAAAACGCUCGUAGUCGGACCAAGACCUCUACAUCGUUGGUCUACCGGAAGGUGUGUACUGACAUGUGGGGGUCCCUGCUCUGUUGAUCUUCCGGUCUUAACUGGCUGGUUGAAAGAUGGGGCCCAUUACCUUGAAUAAAUUAGAGUGUUUCAAGCAGGCUUUAUAGCCAGAAUAUAUUAGCAUGGGAUAACAGAAUAGGGCAUUUGCUUCUUUUGUUGGUAUGGGGGGUAUUUGCAAUGAUAAAUAGGGGCAAUCGGGGGCAUCCAUAUUUUAUUGUCAGAGGUGAAAUUCUUAGAUUGAUCAAAGAUGAACUACUGCGAAAGCACUUGCCUGGGAAGCUUCCAUUGAUCAAGAACGAAAGUUAGGGGAUCGAAGACGAUCAGAUACCGUCGUAGUCCUAACCGUAAAUUUUGUCGACCAGAAAUCGCGGGGUGUUACUUGGAUGACUUUCGCAGCAUCUUUCGGGAAACCAGAGUGUUUGGAUUCCGGGGGGAGUAUGGUCGCAAGGCUGAAACUUAAAGGAAUUGACGGAAGGGCACACCAGGAGUGGAGCCUGCGGCUU